CCUACGGGUGGCAGCAGUGGGGGAUAUUGCACAAUGGGGGAAACCCUGAUGCAGCGAUGCCGCGUGAAUGAAGACGGCCUUCGGGUUGUAAAGUUCUGUCGCUGGGGACGAAAAUGACGGUACCCUGCAAGAAAGCUCCGGCUAACUACGUGCCAGCAGCCGCGGUAAUACGUAGGGAGCAAGGGUUGUCCGGAAUUACUGGGUGUAAAGGGAGCGUAGGCGGGAGGAUAAGUUGAUGGUGAAAUCUAUGGGCUCAACCCAUAGCUGCGUUCAAAACUGUUCUUCUUGAGUUAAGUAGAGGCAGGCGGAAUGCGUAGUGUAGCGGUGAAAUGCGUAGAUAUUAGGAAUAACACCGAUGGCGAAGGCAGCCUGCUGGGCUUUUACUGACGCUGAGGCUCGAAAGCGUGGGUAGCAAACAGGAUUAGAUACCCUUGUAGUC
rnacentral:rRNA from 1 species